rnacentral:snoRNA from 2 species
AAGACUAUACUUUCAGGGAUCAUUCUAUAGUUUGUUACUAAAAGAUUUUUUUAAGUGCAGUUUUAGGUUCAAAGCAAAAUUAAGGGGAAGAGCCAGAGACUUCCCAUAUACCUCCUGA